rnacentral:rRNA from 1 species
GACGAACGCUGGCGGCGUGCUUAACACAUGCAAGUCGAACGGAAAGGCUCUGCUUUUGUGGGGUGCUCGAGUGGCGAACGGGUGAGUAACACGUGAGUAGCCUGCCCUUGACUUUGGGAUAACUUCAGGAAACUGGGGCUAAUACCGGAUAGGAGCUCCUGCUGCAUGGUGGGGGUUGGAAAGUUUCGGCGGUUGGGGAUGGACUCGCGGCUUAUCAGCUUGUUGGUGGGGUAGUGGCUUACCAAGGCUUUGACGGGUAGCCGGCCUGAGAGGGUGACCGGCCACAUUGGGACUGAGAUACGGCCCAGACUCCUACGGGAGGCAGCAGUGGGGAAUAUUGCACAAUGGGCGGAAGCCUGAUGCAGCAACGCCGCGUGCGGGAUGACGGCCUUCGGGUUGUAAACCGCUUUCGCCUGUGACGAAGCGUGAGUGACGGUAAUGGGUAAAGAAGCACCGGCUAACUACGUG